rnacentral:rRNA from 1 species
CCCUUAGAUGUUCUGGGCCGCACGCGCGCUACACUGAUGCAUUCAACGAGUCUAAAACCUGCUCUGAUAGGGGUGGGUAAUCUUUUGAUUGUGCAUCGUGAUUGGGAUAGAUGAUUGCAAUUUUUCAUCUUCAACGAGGAAUGCCUAGUAAACGCAAGUCAUCAGCUUGCAUUGAUUACGUCCCUGCCCUUUGUACACACCGCCCGUCGCUCCUACCGAUUGAAUGAUCCGAUGAAUAUCAUGGAUUGAGGAUGCAAGUAGGUUCGCCUAUCUUCAUCUUCGAGAAGUGAAGUAAAUCUUAUCAUUUAGAGGAAGGAGAAGUCGUAACA